UACGUAGGGGGCAAGCGUUGUCCGGAUUUAUUGGGCGUAAAGAGCGUGUAGGCGGCCUGACAGGUCUGCUGUGAAAACUCGAGGCUCAACCUCGAGACGUCGGUUGAAACCAUCUGGCUAGAGUCCGGAAGAGGAGUGUGGAAUUCCCGGUGUAGCGGUGAAAUGCGCAGAUAUCGGGAAGAACACCCGUGGCGAAGGCGGCACUCUGGGACGGUACUGACGCUGAGACGCGAAAGCGUGGGGAGCGAACAGG
rnacentral:rRNA from 1 species